AACGAACGCUGGCGGCAUGCCUAACACAUGCAAGUCGAACGAGACCUUCGGGUCUAGUGGCGCACGGGUGCGUAACGCGUGGGAACCUGCCCUUAGGUUCGGAAUAACUCCCCGAAAGGGGUGCUAAUACCGGAUAAUGUCUUCGGACCAAAGAUUUAUCGCCUUUGGAUGGGCCCGCGUUGGAUUAGCUAGUUGGUAGUGUAAAAGCCUACCAAGGCGACGAUCCAUAGCUGGUCUGAGAGGAUGAUCAGCGACACUGGCACUGAGACACGGCCCAGACUCCUACGGGAGGCGGCAGUGGGGAAUAUUGGACAAUGGGCGAAAGACUGAUCCAGCAAUGCCGCGUGAGUGAUGAAGGCCUUAGGGUUGUAAAGCUCUUUUACCCGGGAUGAUAAUGACAGUACCGGGAGAAUAAGCUCCGGCUAACUCCGUG
rnacentral:rRNA from 1 species